rnacentral:rRNA from 1 species
GAUGAACGCUGGCGGCGUGCCUAAUACAUGCAAGUCGAGCGAACGGACGAGAAGCUUGCUUCUCUGAUGUUAGCGGCGGACGGGUGAGUAACACGUGGAUAACCUACCUAUAAGACUGGGAUAACUUCGGGAAACCGGAGCUAAUACCGGAUAAUAUUUUGAACCGCAUGGUUCAAAAGUGAAAGACGGUCUUGCUGUCACUUAUAGAUGGAUCCGCGCUGCAUUAGCUAGUUGGUAAGGUAACGGCUUACCAAGGCAACGAUGCAUAGCCGACCUGAGAGGGUGAUCGGCCACACGGGAACUGAGACCCGGUCCAGACUCCUACGGGAGGAAGCAGUAGGGAAUCUUCCGAAAUGGGCGAAAGCCUGACGGAGCAACGCCGCGUGAGUGAUGAAGGUCUUCGGAUCGUAAAACUCUGUUAUUAGGGAAGAACAAAUGUGUAAGUAACUAUGCACGUCUUGACGGUACCUAAUCAGAAAGCCACGGCUAACUACGU